UGAUGAAGAAAACAACCAAGAAAAAGAAAAGGCCCUGAAGAGAAAACCAUAUAGGAUAGAACUAGUUGGAGUGGUAUGUGAUCCUGAUCUAGCCGUUGUUAGAGGCAUCAGGAGAGCUAUUCUAAUGGGAAGAGCUGUGAGGGUGAAAUCACAGUUGAAGUCCCACAAAAGAUUUGCUAAUAGGUUCCCCCGCUACUGCCAAUUACUUGAUAGUGCCAGGCUAUAUUGUACUAACACUAUGGGAAGCCCACCUAAGCUGAUAGGAUGGAAAGAUGGAGAGAACAAUUUGCUGGCUGACCCAAAAGAAAUACAGUGUUUAAAGAGAGUAAAAAUGCUGAAUGAAGAUGCAGAAUCCAUAAAUGAACUUUACACUCACCUACCAGGCAUGACAAGCAAGUCUAGCUUGGUCUGGGAAGACAUCAUCAAGCUGUCGCCUUCUUCAAGAGGUUGUUUUCAACAAGAACUAAGGAUUGCAAUUCAGAAAGCUGACAAUCAGACAUAAUUAAUCUCACCAGUGCCGGGAUUGUAGUUCCAAAUCCUCUGAUCCAUGGUCCAAUCAUGUACUAUUAGAACAAAGACACUAAGGACUGUAUGCUUAGUGAAACUAUAUACAUCCAUGGGGAAUUUGGAAAUUAA